AGGGUGUAAACGCUGCAGACUUGGUGUUGGGAACCCUUCGGGGUGCUCAGUGCCGGAGAGAAGUUGUUAAGUCUGCUACUUGGGAGUACGUCCGCAAGGAUGAAACUUAAAGGAAUUGGCGGGGGAGCACCGCAACGGGAGGAGCGUGCGGUUUAAUUGGAUUCAACGCCGAAAAACUCACCAGCAGCGACUGUUACAUGAAAGUCAGGUUGAUGACCUUACUAGAUUUUCAGAGAGGAGGUGCAUGGCGUCAGUGACU
rnacentral:rRNA from 1 species